CUUGUUUUCUUUUAGAAAUAAAGGUUUUUAAUAAGGUUUAAUGUGUGUGUGAUUUAUCCACACUAGUUGUUUAAGGCCGACCAAAGACCCAAAUCACUAAGGUCCAAAUCAAUCCAAAUUCAUUCCACAUAACCCGGGAUAUAAGGUUCACAUCACAUGAAAUGCAAGGUACACUUUCUGAUCUCUAUUUUUUCACUCCACUCAUCUUAAAUCUUGAUCUGACUUGGGCCUUUGAGUGAUAACCAUGCAAGUCCA
rnacentral:lncRNA from 1 species